rnacentral:rRNA from 1 species
AAUCUGCCUUUUACAGGGGAAUAGCCCAGAGAAAUUUGGAUUAAUACCCCAUGGUAUUACGAAGUGGCAUCACUAUGUAAUUAAAGUUCCAACGGUAAAAGAUGAGCAUGCGUCCCAUUAGUUAGUUGGUAAGGUAACGGCUUACCAAGACUAUGAUGGGUAGGGGUCCUGAGAGGGAGAUCCCCCACACUGGUACUGAGACACGGACCAGACUCCUACGGGAGGCAGCAGUGAGGAAUAUUGGACAAUGGGCGCAAGCCUGAUCCAGCCAUGCCGCGUGCAG